GCUGCCUAAGUGGAUACAUAUCUGCAUUUUUAAAUCCUUAAUAUUAAGUUCGCUUGCUUGCUUAGGACCGUGCAAAUCUUUCGGUCGUUUUUAAUCCACUUCCCAUGAUCCAAUCGAGCUGACAUUUUCCACACAGACUCGUUGUGCGUGACAAUUAAUGUUCGUGAAAUUUUUUUUCAAAAAUUUUACACUUUUCAGGACAAAAAUAUUAUAUUUAAUUACCAAUUGCUUAAUGCUGCCAUUCAAUCAUCUGACCCAUAGGUGGCAGCCAUCUCAAGCCAGAGGACGAGAGUACUCUAGCCGCCACGCAUAUAAAGGAUUUAUAGUGAAAAACUUUGUUUUUACGAGUUAUAUUUGUUCUGAGAUGGCAUCAAGAAGCUGCAAGCAUCUGGCAGGCGCAUUUUGUGGCCAAUUUAUCAAGACAAGAGCGUAAAAGUACUCUGUGGAAGCAUCUGCAAAGAUGUGUGAGGCUUACAAGGCAUAUUUCGGCAUGCCUGUCGGGGAUCGAGACAAACCCUGGGCACAUCGUUUCACCUGCGAGCAAUACAAAAAACUCUGGAAGGAUGGUACAGAGGGGAAAAGAGAGCCAUGAAGUUCGCUAUCCCAAUAAUUUGGCGGGAACCCCCUGACCACUCUAGUAUUGCUACUUCUGCGUGGUGGACCCUUCCAACCGUCGGACUGGCAAGAAUGCACCUGCUAUCACGUACCCGGACCUUCCUUCAUCCAUCGCUCCGGUGCCACACUGCCAUGAGCUCCCCGUACCCACUCCUCCGGCGAGAGAGCAGCCGUCUUUAGAAGAGAGCAGCAAGUCAGAGAGCGAGGAAGACGUUGUAGAUCCAGAUGACAAUUUCAGAGGUGGAGCUAAGGAGAGAAACCCAUACUCCCCCAACCAAAAAAACCUUAACGACCUGAUCAGAGAUCUUGGUCUCACCAAGUCCAAUACUGAGCUUUUGAUGUCUAGGCUCAAGCAGUGGAACUUGUUGGAUGAAAGUGUGCAAGUCGCAGAUCAGAGAGAGCGUCACCAACCUUUUUGCAGCUUCUUCACUCGUCAAGAUGGGCUCUGCUUCUGCCACAAUGUGACCAGUCUGUUCGAGGCAAUCGGAAUCGCCUGAAACCAGAAUGAGUGGCGCCUCUUCAUUGACAGCUCAUCCAGGAGCCUCAAAGCCGUGCUGCUCCAUAAUGGUAACAAGUACCCGUCUCUUCCCCUGGCUCACUCGGUGCACCUCAAAGAGGAUUACAACAGCAUCAAGACCUUGCUGGACGCCUUGAAGUAUGAGUACGGCUGGGAGGUAAUCAGAUACUUAAAAAUGGUGGCAUUCCUGAUGGGUCUCCAAGGCGGUUUUACCAAGUUUCCCUGCUACGUUUGCCUUUGGGACAGCAGGGACACCAAAGGCGCACUACCACAGAUGGGACUGGCCACAGCGGACCGAGUUCUCUGUGGGGAGGAACAGUGUCAAGUGGGAGCCACUGGUGGACCCCCGGAAGGUGCUGAUGCCAACACUGCACAUCAAAUUGGGCCUUAUGAAACAAUUUGUCAGUGCUGUAGAUAAGGAGUCGGCAGCCUUCAAGCACCUUCAAGACUUCUUACCUAAGCUGUCUGAGGAAAAGGUCAAAGCUGGUGUCCACGUCAGACCACAGAUAAAGAAGAUCCUGGAGUGCAAUGAAUUCCCCAAGAAGCUCACUAGUAAGGAGAGAGCGGCUUGGGACAGCUUUGUCGCAGUGGUUCGUGGCUUCCUGGGCAAUCACAAGGUCGAAAGCUUCGUGGCGCUAGUUGAGACUGGUGAAGAACCACGGCACAAUAGGCUGUACGAUGUCCCUCAAAGUCCAUAUCCUUGAUGUUCAUCUGAAUAAAUUCAAGAAGAUCAUGGGAGCGUAUUCGGAGGAGCAAGGCGAGCGCUUCCACCAGGAUAUACUGGACUUUGAACGCCGCUACCAAGGACAGUAUAACGAGAACAUGAUGGGAGACUACAUUUGCGGGCUGAUUCGUGAAAGUGAUUUACAGUAUAAUCGUAAAUCUCGAAAAACUACUCACUUCUAAAUGUUUUUUGUAUGACUUUAGUAUAAAUACAUGUACAUUAUUAUUCAUAUGUUCUUUUUUCUGACUCUAUGUGAACGAAAAAACACAAAUUCGCCCGUUUUCUCAUUGAAAAUAGGUCAAUUUCAAAAUAUCACUGUCCUGGUCACAAAAGCAAAGUUUGUGGAGAAUAAUAGCCAUUUUCUAUACUUUUUAGGCAUAAACAAUUACGAAAUAACACUUACUACCCAGGAACAAAAAUUGUGUUAAAUAAUUAUAAUUACUGAAGAGAGACCGCAUCCCUAUAAAAUCUCUCUCGAUUACCAGUGAAUUUAAUCUUGACACAAUAUAUUUAUUUUCACAGUGAAAAUGCAUUGGCAGUGAUGAACAAGCUCAAAUUAGACAAAAACCUACCGCCUCUGUCAUUAAAACUGCCCUAAAACUAAAUAUAUACGAUACGCUGGAGCAGGUUUGGGGCAUAAACGAUUGCCAUGUACAGUAUUUGAAUCCCAUACUUUGCAGUGUGUUGCCUUCAAAACACAGCGAUUCAAUGUGAAUACAGUUUAAAUAUGAGCCUUUUUUCUUACGGAAAUGUGAUCAACUAUGCCAGUGCAAAAUUAAUUCUCCACAAAUGAAGUUGGCACCAUCAGGCGCGGUCAUUACCAACCCUCAUUGGGCUAUGACCAACACAAUUAAAACAACCUGCCAGCCUCAUCUCAUCAGAUGCCAAUCUACUGCUCUAUUUGAUUUGAAGCUUUCGUGACUGCAGGGAUCCAUACUCUUUGGUUCUUUCGGUAAAGUCACGUUGGCAUAAAAUAAAAUAUAUCACGACGUUUCGAUCGCCUUGUUGUAGCUGCUCUCUUGCUAGUUCAGCAGUUCCACCGCUGGAUUAUAUUUUUUCCGCCUGAGGACGACCGCUUGUGUUGUGAUCGAAACUUAGGAUUUAUGUUAUUUUAUACCUACGUGACUUUACCGAAAGAACCAAAGAGUAUAGUUAUAUAUUGCGAGGCGCCCAUGACUGAAGUGCUGCACAAUCCGUUUCGUGAUGUUUUCAGAAAUGAAUAAAGACAAGGGUUUCCCUCGAUUCCAAACGCGUGCAAAUCGUGGAACUGUGCAACGAACGUAAUGGAUCCAUACUCUUUGGUUUUUUCGGUAAAGUCACGUAGGUUAAAAGAAAAAUGUAUUUAAAAGAAAAAUGUAUUUGUUUUAUUUUAACCUACGUGACUUUAACGAAAAACCCAGAGUAUGGAUCCUUGCAGUCACGAAAAUGUCAAAUCUAGAAUUAAAACCGUAAUGGAAUGAGCGCCGACACGUAACAGCAUCUCGUCGUUUGCAGUAGCCACGGUGUGUGUUCCCUCUAUGUAUAUAUUGGCAACACAAAUAAAACAACUUGAAUCUUUCAGUUAAAACUGUCUGAAGUUACGUUAAAAAAUUAACAGCCUUCCUAACUGACGGAUUCAAUAUUUAUAAGCUUUUGAUAAUGGCGCGAUGGAAAUGUGGGGCAACUUUUAGAGGGAAAGGUUCAACGCGUUGGCAGCAAAACUCGACACACUUGGGUUGGAAGGGAGAACGGUGAAUUCAAUUAAGAAUGACCUGCCACUGAAAUUGCAUCGGGUGUAUCACACGGAAGAACAACACUUUUAAUGCAUGCCCAAUAUAUAUAUUCGAUGAAGGCUAAGGAAACACGCCGCUAAAAGACCGCGUGAAAGAGUCCAAGUAAAUCAUUCCAAAGGCACAUGUUUUGUCACAGAUGGAACGCAACACGACAUGUGAACAAUGAUCAACUGCACAGGGGUGAGGCUGUGCGAGACAGCUGCUCCAGUUAAUAUUGCUUGUGUGGGCACUGCAUGUGCAGUCGAUAAAAAAAAAACGCACACGCGGGCAGCAGGGAGCCUGGAAUCGGAGUGUCAUCCGGGUUCAGGUAUGCUGAAAACACUAGGUACUCGGCAUGUGUUUGCGCAUCUUGCAAACGCACAAAUCAUAUGUUCUCCCUCUUAAAUUAACGUUCUAAACGUGUAGAGGACACACACGCAGGUACACAGGGACAAGUGAUCAAACUGUGAUGAUCGCCGGUGUGGAAGAAUGACAUGGUAGUUUGUCUCCAACACAAAUCUAGGCAAGAAGUUUACAUAUAUUAUAUACUUCCACAGAUGCCGAGAAAAUCUGCACAAAAGGCUUGUGUCACUAUGUUGAGAAACAGUCCCAUAUUCCCGUCAAAGAGCUGCUGUUUGCGAAUUACUAACCAUCAGCUUUCUUUUUGCCAAUUUCACGUUUACAUCGUUUUUGUUACAACCAACAUUUUUGCACGAUGGAUUGUGCUAUCACAGGACCACGAAAGAUGGUGUCACACUGGGGAGGACUUCAUCCGGCUGCGGAGAGCUCAUGGCCAAUGAUGAUGAUGAUGCUGCUGCUGUAUAUGGAUUGAGCUGUAUCAACGCCAAGAUGCUUCAACAAAGGACAUUACAUUACAAGUGGAGCCUGGUCUUUGUUCUUGCAACGAAUUUCAUUUUGUUAUAGCCACACCUUUCUGCUAUAGACUUGCGUCAAUAAGAAAAUGUUAAUUAAAUUGCGGCGCCACGGGCUCUCUGCAACAACAAAAAAUACAUCUUGAAGAUUACAUUUUUAUUGCAGCAAUUAAUUAGGCAUAGACUGUUAUGUUACUGUGAUGACAUGUAACGAAAUGUACAUUGAUGUAUUUUAAUGCAGUAACUUUUUCGGUGCACUUUAAAUUAAGUAUGCAGUUUGUAAGUGGACCGUGAAUGAGCACCAGCUUGUUUUACAAGUAAUGGAAUCGCAAUAUAAAAAAAUGUACUCCA